CGCACAUUGCGCCCAUUAGUAUUCUAGUGGGCAUGCCUGUUCGAGCGUCAUUUCAACCCUCAGGCCUCCGGGACUGGUGUUGGGGCUUUGCACUGCAAACCCUGAAAAACAGUGGCGGGCUUGCUGAAACCCGAGCGUAGUACUACUUCCGCUAUGGGCUCAGGCAAUGCACCGGCCGUAAAAGCUCUUAAUACUGUAAAGUUGACCUCGGAUCAGGUAGGAAUACCCGCUGAACUUAA
rnacentral:misc_RNA from 1 species